rnacentral:rRNA from 1 species
UGGGGAAUAUUGGACAAUGGGCGCAAGCCUGAUCCAGCAAUGCCGCGUGAGUGAUGAAGGCCUUCGGGUUGUAAAGCUCUUUCGCACGCGACGAUGAUGACGGUAGCGUGAGAAGAAGCCCCGGCUAACUUCGUGCCAGCAGCCGCGGUAAUACGAAGGGGGCUAGCGUUGUUCGGAAUUACUGGGCGUAAAGGGCGCGUAGGCGGUGGAUCAAGUCAGGCGUGAAAGCCCCGGGCUCAACCUGGGAACCGCGCUUGAGACUGGUGCGCUAGAGUUCGGGAGAGGAUGGUGGAAUUCCCAGUGUAGAGGUGAAAUUCGUAGAUAUUGGGAAGAACACCGAUGGCGAAGGCAGCCAUCUGGACCGACACUGACGCUGAGGCGCGAAAGCGUGGGGAGCAAACAGGAUUAGAUACCCUGGUAGUCCACGCCGUAAACGAUGAGUGCUAGACGUCGGGGCCCUCAGGGCUUCGGUGUCGCAGCUAACG